rnacentral:rRNA from 1 species
GACGAACGCUGGCGGCGUGCCUAAUACAUGCAAGUAGAACGCUGAAGGAGGAGCUUGCUCUUCUGGAUGAGUUGCGAACGGGUGAGUAACGCGUAGGUAACCUGCCUGGUAGCGGGGGAUAACUAUUGGAAACGAUAGCUAAUACCGCAUAACAGUAGAUGUUGCAUGACAUUUGCUUAAAAGGUGCAAUUGCCCCACUACCAGAUGGACCUGCGUUGUAUUAGCUAGUUGGUGGGGUAACGGCUCACCAAGGCGACGAUACAUAGCCGACCUGAGAGGGUGAUCGGCCACACUGGGACUGAGACACGGCCCAGACUCCUACGGGAGGCAGCAGUAGGGAAUCUUCGGCAAUGGACGGAAGUCUGACCGAGCAACGCCGCGUGAGUGAAGAAGGUUUUCGGAUCGUAAAGCUCUGUUGUAAGAGAAGAACGAGUGUGAGAGUGGAAAGUUCACACUGUGACGGUAUCUUACCAGAAAGAGACGGCUAACUACGUG